rnacentral:rRNA from 1 species
AACGCGAAGAACCUUACCUACUCUUGACAUCCCUGGAAGUGAGCUGAGAGGCUCAUGUGCCGCAAGGAACCAGGAGACAGGUGCUGCAUGGCUGUCGUCAGCUCGUGUUGUGAGAUGUUGGGUUAAGUCCCGUAACGAGCGCAACCCUUGUCCUUAGUUACCAGCACGUAAAGGUGGGAACUCUAAGGAGACUGCUGGUGAAGAACCGGAGGAAGGCGGGGACGACGUCAAGUCAUCAUGGCCUUUAUGAGUAGGGCUACACACGUGCUACAAUGGGGUGAACAGAGGGCAGCGAACCUGUGAAGGGGAGCCAAUCCCAGAAAACACCUCGUAGUCCAGAUUGAAGUCUGCAACUCGACUUCAUGAAGCCGGAAUCGCUAGUAAUCGCGAAUCAGCAUUGUCGCGGUGAAUACGUUCCCGGGCUUGUACACACCGCGUGUCU